GGCCUAAUGGCCCAAUGGCAAGGCGCUUGACUACGACUUCGGUUUGAUAUCAAGAGAUUCCAGGUUCGACCCCUGGUUAGGUCA